rnacentral:rRNA from 1 species
UACGGAGGGGGCUAGCGUUGUUCGGAAUUACUGGGCGUAAAGCGCACGUAGGCGGACUGUUAAGUCGGGGGUGAAAUCCUGGGGGUCAACCUCAGAAUUGCCUCCGAUACUGGCAGUCUCGAGUGCGGGAGAGGUGAGUGGAAUUCCCAGUGUAGAGGUGAAAUUCGUAGAUAUUGGGAAGAACACCAGUGGCGAAGGCGGCUCACUGGCCCGUAACUGACGCUGAGGUGCGAAAGCGUGGGGAGCAAACAGG